rnacentral:rRNA from 1 species
CCUACGGGAGGCAGCAGUGGGGAAUAUUGCGCAAUGGGGGCAACCCUGACGCAGCCAUGCCGCGUGAAUGAAGAAGGCCUUCGGGUUGUAAAGUUCUUUCGGUAGCGAGGAAGGCAUUUAGUUUAAUAAACUAGGUGAUUGACGUUAACUACAGAAGAAGCACCGGCUAACUCCGUGCCAGCAGCCGCGGUAAUACGGAGGGUGCGAGCGUUAAUCGGAAUAACUGGGCGUAAAGGGCACGCAGGCGGUGACUUAAGUGAGGUGUGAAAGCCCCGGGCUUAACCUGGGAAUUGCAUUUCAUACUGGGUCGCUAGAGUACUUUAGGGAGGGGUAGAAUUCCACGUGUAGCGGUGAAAUGCGUAGAGAUGUGGAGGAAUACCGAAGGCGAAGGCAGCCCCUUGGGAAUGUACUGACGCUCAUGUGCGAAAGCGUGGGGAGCAAACAGGAUUAGAUACCCCAGUAGUC